AGUGAACGCUGGCGGUAGGCCUAACACAUGCAAGUCGAACGGCAGCACAGAGGAGCUUGCUCCUUGGGUGGCGAGUGGCGGACGGGUGAGGAAUACAUCGGAAUCUACUCUGUCGUGGGGGAUAACGUAGGGAAACUUACGCUAAUACCGCAUACGACCUACGGGUGAAAGCAGGGGAUCUUCGGACCUUGCGCGAUUGAAUGAGCCGAUGUCGGAUUAGCUAGUUGGCGGGGUAAAGGCCCACCAAGGCGACGAUCCGUAGCUGGUCUGAGAGGAGGGUCAGCCAACCUGGAACCGAGACACGGUCCAGACUCCUACGGGAGGCAGCAGUGGGGAAUAUUGGACAAUGGGCGCAAGCCUGAUCCAGCCGUACCGCGUGGGUGAAGAAGGCCUUCGGGUUGUAAAGCCCUUUUGUUGGGAAAGAAAUCCAUCUGGUUAAUACCCGGGUGGGAUGACGGUACCCAAAGAAUAAGCACCGGCUAACUUCGUGCCAGCAGCCGCCGUAA
rnacentral:rRNA from 1 species